AUGGGAAGGAGAAGCAGGAAGACAUCAACUGGCAAGGCGCCUCAGUCGACGCCGGUGACAGAACCGGUAAUCCAGGAGACCGGCGAUGCCAAUCGGACUUCUGUGACUUUCGCCAUACCAUUGUCGAGUGCCCAGCCUUCAGCGUCGACUGCGCAGACUCCAGCCGAUCCAUCUUCACUCUUCACUGCACAUCACGUCCCAGAGGACCAAGUGGGUGCUACCAAGGAGGCUAUACGCCAGGCGGGCAUCAUGAUGGAACAGAUGAAGGUGGUCCGGGAGGCCAGCCAAGCUGCUUACGACGCCAGCUCAGCUCUCCAGAGCAACGUCCAGGUUGGUUGA
rnacentral:rRNA from 1 species